GACGAACGCUGGCGGCGUGCUUAACACAUGCGAGUCGAACGGUAAGGCCCUUCGGGGUACACGAGUGGCGAACGGGUGAGUAACACGUGGGUGAUCUGCCCUGCACUUCGGGAUAAGCCUGGGAAACUGGGUCUAAUACCGGAUAGGACCACUGCCUGCAUGGGUGGUGGUGGAAAGCCUUUGCGGUGUGGGAUGGGCCCGCGGCCUAUAAGCUUGUUGGUGGGGUGAUGGCCUACCAAGGCGACGACGGGUAGCCGGCCUGAGAGGGUGACCGGCCGCACUGGGACUGAGAUACGGCCCAGACUCCUACGGGAGGCAGCAGUGGGGAAUAUUGCACAAUGGGCGCAAGCCUGAUGCAGCGACGCCGCGUGAGGGAUGACGGCCUUCGGGUUGUAAACCUCUUUCAGCACCGACGAAGCGCAAGUGACGGUAGGUGCAGAAGAAGGACCGGCCAACUACGUGCCAGCAGCCGCGGUAACAC
rnacentral:rRNA from 1 species